rnacentral:rRNA from 1 species
GAUGAACGCUGGCGGCGUGCCUAAUACAUGCAAGUCGAGCGAACGGACGAGAAGCUUGCUUCUCUGAUGUUAGCGGCGGACGGGUGAGUAACACGUGGAUAACCUACCUAUAAGACUGGGAUAAUUUCGGGAAACCGGAGCUAAUACCGGAUAAUAUUUUGAACCGCAUGGUUCAAAAGUGAAAGACGGUCUUGCUGUCUCUUAUAGAUGGAUCCGCGCUGCAUUAGCUAGUUGGUAAGGUAACGGCUUACCAAGGCAACGAUGCAUAGCCGACCUGAGAGGGUGAUCGGCCACACUGGAACUGAGACACGGUCCAGACUCCUACGGGAGGCAGCAGUAGGGAAUCUGCCGCAAUGGGCGAGAGCCUGACGGAGCAACGCCGCGUGAGUGAUGAAGGUCUUCGGAUCGUAAAACUCUGUUAUGAGGGAAGAACAUAUGUGUAAGUAACUGUGCACAUCUUGACGGUACCUAAUCAGAAAGCCACGGCUAACUACGUG